rnacentral:rRNA from 1 species
CCUACGGGGGGCUGCAGUCGAGAAUCUUCGGCAAUGGGCGCAAGCCUGACCGAGCGAUGCCGCGUGCGGGAUGAAGGCCUUCGGGUUGUAAACCGCUGUCAGAGGGGAUGAAAUACGUCGGGGGUUCUCCCCCGGGUUUGACAUAUCCUCAGAGGAAGGACGGGCUAAGUUCGUGCCAGCAGCCGCGGUAAGACGAACCGUCCAAACGUUGUUCGGAAUUACUGGGCUUAAAGGGUGUGUAGGCGGCCGGGAAAUACCUCGGCUCAACCGAGGAACAGCGCUCAAAACUGUCAGGCUUGAGGGAGAUAGAGGUGAGCGGAACUUAAGGUGGAGCGGUGAAAUGCGUUGAUAUCUUAAGGAACACCCGUGGCGAAAGCGGCUCACUGGAUCUCUUCUGACGCUCAUGCACGAAAGCUAGGGGAGCAAACGGGAUUAGAUACCCUAGUAGUC